rnacentral:rRNA from 1 species
ACGCCGCGUGAGGGGAUGAAGUCUCUAGGGAUGUAAACCUCUGUUGGGAGGGACGAAGAUCUGACGGUACCUCCUGAGGAAGCCCCGGCUAACUACGUGCCAGCAGCCGCGGUAAUACGUAGGGGGCAAGCGUUAUCCGGAUUUACUGGGCGUAAAGAGCGCGUAGGCGGUUCCGUAAGUUGGUUGUGAAAGUUCGAGGCUCAACCUCGAAACUGCGUCCAAUACUGCGGGGCUGGAGUGCAAGAGAGGCAANUGGAAUUUGCGGUGUANUAGUGAAAUGCGUAGAUAUCGCAAGGAACACCAGUGGCGAAGGCGGCUUGCUAGCUUGUAACUGACGCUGANGCGCGAAAACUAAGGGACGAACGGGAUUAGAUACCCCGGUAGNCCUAGCCCUAAACAAUGUUCCUAGGGUGUUGGUGGUAUUGAACUCCAUCAGUGCCCAGCUAACGAAUUANGUGACCGCCUGGGGAGUACGGCCGCAAGGUUGAANUCAANGGAAUUGACGGGGGCCC